AGAUUGCCCAGCUUGCACUAGCAGUGAGGCUCCUCCAGUAACAGCUGAACUGAAAGCUGUGUUAGUGGGGGGGACCUUUAGACAUCCCAGAGCGUGUGGUAGAGCAGAGGAGCAAGCAAGGUGCUUUUACUCUUCCCCAUCUCCGGGUGGGAGGUGAAUUCAUGUGAUUGCACCUCUGAGUCUUCACUGACCAAUGACAAGAAGUGAACCUUCAGGGAAACUGAGGUAGGGGAUUCCAGUGGCAUGCUAUACCACAAGGAUGUGUGCUUGAAGAAUGCAAACCCACCUACCUUUAUCUACCUUCAGGGGGUUCUGAGGAUUAACUAGGAUUUACCUGUUGCAAGAGACAGAGGAGGAGAAAGUCAUCCUGUGAUCAACCAGAUUUAUGAGUCACCAAUGUGAUGCAGCUGUGAAAAAGGCUAAUGUAGUCCCAGCGAUGCAUCAGGGGACGUAUUUCCAGAAGCGAUAGGGAGUGAAGUUCUGGAACAGCCUUCUAAGAGGAGCAGUGGGGGUAAAAAACCUGACUGGCAUCAAGACUGAGCUUGACCCAGGGAGCUUAGACACACCUGAGAUCAAGUGGUUGGAUCCACUCACAACAGACUGGUGACUGUCUGGAAGAGGAACGAGGCCAGGCUGUAGCAAUCCAGUCUUGAUUUAAAGCCUUCAUUGAUGGCAAAUCCACCACAUUCCCCAGGAGAAAACAUUCCCAGUGCCCAUGUUUUAUGGGACUUAUGGAAGAGUCUGUAAUGGACGGCACUUCAACCUGUAAAUAUGGCUGUUGCUGCUGUUAUAACUGCUAUGCUCGGCAUCUGCAGUACUGUCUCCUGGUCAUGCCAUUGACGUGCCUUUCAGCUGUUUUCUACUCUGUGUUUGCCAACGAGGAGCCAUCCUUAUGUGAUCCCCUCCGUCCACCUCGUCCCUUCAGUUUGCAAUUUAUUUCCCCUUAAAACCUUACUUUCCUCAUUUACAAUGAGUGGCAUGUGUUUACAAGAAAUGUUUAAAAAGCAAGAGCAAUGCCGUUAGCUUUUUAUAACGAACUAGAACAUUUGACCUAUUUUACUCCCACUUGGUUACUACUUGCCUUUUAAUCAAUCAAAUAAAACUGUGUGAGCAUUGC